rnacentral:misc_RNA from 1 species
UCCGAGUUGACCCCGGCAGUCUCCUACGAGUCCCCGGCAUAACCCGCUGGCAACAUAGGACAAGGGUUGCGCUCGUUGCGGGACUUAACCCAACAUCUCACGACACGAGCUGACGACAACCAUGCACCACCUGUAUACCGACCUUGCGGGGCAUCCAUCUCUGAAUGUUUCCGGUAUGUGUCAAGCCUUGGUAAGGUUCUUCGCGUUGCAUCGAAUUAAUCCGCAUGCUCCGCCGCUUGUGCGGGCCCCCGUCAAUUCCUUUGAGUUUUAGCCUUGCGGCCGUACUCCCCAGGCGGGGAACUUAAUGCGUUAGCUUCGGCACGGAGGGAGUCGACACCCCCCACACCUAGCGCCCAACGUUUACGGUGUGGACUAC